rnacentral:snRNA from 12 species
GUGCUUGCUUCUGCAGGACAUAAACACUAAAAUUGGAAUGAUAAAGAGAAGAUUAGGAUGGCCCCUGUGCAAGGAUGACACACAAUUUGUGAAACGUUCCAUAUUUUU